UACAGGGGUCUCAAGCGUUGUUCGGAUUCAUCGGGCGUAAAGCGCGCGUAGGCGGCCCAGUAAGUCCGUUGUAAAAGUCAAAGGCUCAACCUUUGAAAGCCGAUGGAUACUGCUGGGCUAGAGUCCGGAAGAGGCGAGUGGAAUUCCUGGUGUAGCGGUGGAAUGCGCAGAUAUCAGGAGGAACACCGAUAGCGAAGGCAGCUCGCUGGGACGGUACUGACGCUGAGGCGCGAAAGCGUGGGGAGCGAACAGG
rnacentral:rRNA from 1 species